GCGUUAUCCGGAUUUAUUGGGCGUUAAGAGCUCGUAGUCGGCCGUUCGCGUCGGAUGUGAAAGCUCAGGGCUCAACUCUGAGAUGCCAUUCGAUACGGGACGGCUAGAGGUAGGUAGGGGAGAGUGGAAUUCCUGGUGUAGCGGUGAAAUGCGCAGAUAUCAGGAGGAACACCGGUGGCGAAGGCGGCUCUCUGGGCAUUACCUGACGCUGAGGAGCGAAAGUGUGGGGAGCGAACAGG
rnacentral:rRNA from 1 species